AGCGGCGCUGAUCACCAUCAAGAAUUUAACUUACCAAGUUCUUGAAAUCAAUAGCGAGGCACAUAAUCUUAAAGUUGCUAGAACAGAUUACAUAGGAAGCAUCUGUCCAAACCUCCUUUUAAACACCACUUUGGAUUUUUCCUUUUUCAGUUAUGCUUCCGAUAUUCAGAAUAUAACCCUAUACUAUGGUUGCCCCCAGCUGCCAUCAUUUUUAAAUCCAUUAGCCGGAAUUCCAGGGCUUUCCACUCAGUUCACUUGCACAUUAAACAACAGCGACAGCGGAGGUUUUUAUUUAACUAGGAACCUAGGUAACUUCAGUGCUACAAUACUCAACAACUUGGGAUCCUGCGCCAAUAGAGUUAUUGUUCCGGCGACUCAAUCAUCCGUUAGCACUUUAGAGAGCGGUCUAACCCAGG
rnacentral:misc_RNA from 1 species